UUAGGGGCAUACUCAUAAGGCUGCCCUUCGGGGUGAAACUUGCACAGGUGGUUGCACGGCUGUCGUCAGCUCGUGCUGUGAAGUGUCGGGUUAAGUCCCUUAACGAGCGAAACCCUUGCCGUUAGUUACCANCGGGUAAAGCCGGGGACUCUAGCGGGACUGCCGGCGUUAAGCCGGAGGAAGGCGGGGACGACGUCAAGUCAUCGUGGCCCUUAUGUCCAGGGAUGCACACGUGCUACAAUGGCGCGUACAGAGCGACGCAGGACCGCGAGGUGGAGCAAAUCGCAAAAAACGCGCCCCAGUUCGGAUUGGAGUCUGUAAUUCGACUCCAUGAAGUUGGAAUCGCUANUAAUCGCGGAUCAGCUACGCCGCGGUGAAUGUGUUCCUGAGCCUUGUACACACCGCCCGUCAAGUCAUGGAAGCUGGUAGUACCCGAAGUCCGCUUAGCCAACCUCACGGAGGCGGCGGCCGACGGUAAGACCGGUGACUGGGACUAAGUCGUAACAAGGUAGCCGU
rnacentral:rRNA from 1 species